CUGGCUCAGGACGAACGCUGGCGGCGUGCCUAAUACAUGCAAGUCGAGCGAACAGAGAAGGAGCUUGCUCCUUUGACGUUAGCGGCGGACGGGUGAGUAACACGUGGGCAACCUACCUUAUAGUUUGGGAUAACUCCGGGAAACCGGGGCUAAUACCGAAUAAUCUGUUUCACCUCAUGGUGAAAUACUGAAAGACGGUUUCGGCUGUCGCUAUAGGAU
rnacentral:rRNA from 1 species